rnacentral:rRNA from 1 species
UGAGGGGCAGCGGGGAGUGGCAACACUCCGCCGGCGACCGGCGGAAGGGUGCGUAACACGUGAGCAACCUGCCCGUGACCGGGGGAUAACCGGCGGAAACGCCGCCUAAUACCCCAUAACAGCGGGGGCCGCAUGGUCCCUUCUUGAAAGACCCGUCGGUCACGGAUGGGCUCGCGGGACAUUAGCUAGUCGGCGGGGCGACGGCCCACCGAGGCGACGAUGUCUAGGGGUCCUGAGAGGAUGAUCGCCCACACUGGGACUGAGACACGGUCCAGACUCCUACGGGAGGCAGCAGUGAGGAAUAUUGCACAAUGGGCGAAAGCCUGAUCCAGCAACGCCCGCGUGAGGGAUGAAGGUUUUCGGAUCGUAAACCUCUGUUCCUAGGUGAAGAAGAAAGAGACGGUAGCCUAAGGAGGAAAGCCCCGGCUAACUACGUGCCAGCAGCCGCGGUAAUACGUAGGGGGCGAGCGUUAUCCGGAUUUACUGGGUGUAAAGGGAGCGUAGGUGGUUACCUAAGCGCAAGGUUUAAACUAUCGGCUUAACUGAUAAUUGCCUUGCGAACUGGGCUACUUGAGUGCAGGAGGGGAAAGCGGAAUUCCUAGUGUAGCGGUGAAAUGCGUAGAUAUUAGGAGGAACACCAGCGGCGAAGGCGGCUUUCUGGACUGUAACUGACACUGAGGCACGAAAGCGUGGGGAGCAAACAGGAUUAGAUACCCUGGUAGUCCACGCCGUAAACGAUGAGCACUAGGUGUUGGGGCCGAAUGGCUUCAGUGCCGCAGUUAACGCAUUAAGUGCUCCGCCUGGGGAGUACGCUCGCAAGAGUAAAACUCAAAGGAAUUGACGGGGACCCGCACAAGCAGCGGAGCAUGUGGUUUAAUUCGAAGCAACGCGAAGAACCUUACCAGGGCUUGACAUCCCUCUGAAGGACUCCUAACCGGAGUCCUCUCGACAGAGAC